rnacentral:rRNA from 1 species
UACAGAGGUCUCAAGCGUUGUUCGGAUUCAUUGGGCGUAAAGGGUGCGUAGGUGGCGCCAUAAGUCAGGUGUGAAAUCUCGGGGCUCAACCCCGAAACUGCACUUGAUACUGUGGUGCUGGAGUACUGGAGAGGAGAUUGGAAUUUACGGUGUAGCAGUGAAAUGCGUAGAUAUCGUAAGGAAGACCAGUGGCGAAGGCGAAUCUCUGGACAGUUACUGACACUGAGGCACGAAGGCCAGGGGAGCAAACGGG